ACUUUGUACCCAUUAAACAAUAGCUUCCCUUGCCCACCCCCAGCGCUUGGCAACCAACAUUCUGCUUUCUGUCUCCAUGAUCCUUGAAUAUUCUUGACAGUGCUGCCAACUCCCAGAGCACGGAGCUAGGCACAUGGCCACCUGUAUUUAAAGUCAGCAACGGCAGAACUCUAGAGAAUAUUGCUUACCAAAAGGACCCAGCUGACUGACUUCACCCCUGCCGCAAGUGAGGUUUAUCGUUUGUAUCUGUCUGUUGUUGGAAGACUCAGGGAGACAGACACCUCAGGACUGAGGAGGAGACAGAGGACGUGGCAAGGCUAACAGGGUAGCAGUUUCCUCUUCCAUAAAAUGAAGAUAACAGUAGAACCUCUUGGAUGGAUGUGUUAAGAAAAAGAUAAUGCCUGUGAAGUACCUAGCGCAGGACCUAGCACGGUACAUAGCACAGUACCUGGAGAACUCCAGAGGAGGGCACAAGGAGAAGAUGGCCAUCUGCAAACCCAGAAAUGAGGCCUCACCAGACACUGGAUCCAUGAGCACCUUGAUCUUGGACUCUCCAGC